rnacentral:rRNA from 1 species
GACGUGCUAAUCUGCGAUAAGCGUCGGUAAGGUGAUAUGAACCGUUAUAACCGGCGAUUUCCGAAUGGGGAAACCCAGUGUGUUUCGACACACUAUCAUUAACUGAAUCCAUAGGUUAAUGAGGCGAACCGGGGGAACUGAAACAUCUAAGUACCCCGAGGAAAAGAAAUCAACCGAGAUUCCCCCAGUAGCGGCGAGCGAACGGGGAGGAGCCCAGAGUCUGAAUCAGUGUGUGUGUUAGUGGAAGCGUCUGGAAAGGCGCGCGAUACAGGGUGACAGCCCCGUACACAAAAAUGCACAUACUGUGAGCUCGAUGAGUAGGGCGGGACACGUGGUAUCCUGUCUGAAUAUGGGGGGACCAUCCUCCAAGGCUAAAUACUCCUGACUGACCGAUAGUGAACCAGUACCGUGAGGGAAAGGCGAAAAGAACCCCGGCGAGGGGAGUGAAAAAGAACCUGAAACCGUGUACGUACAAGCAGUGGGAGCCUCUUUUAUGGGGUGACUGCGUACCUUUUGUAUAAUGGGUCAGCGACUUAUAUUCUGUAGCAAGGUUAACCGAAUAGGGGAGCCGAAGGGAAACCGAGUCUUAACUGGGCGUUAAGUUGCAGGGUAUAGACCCGAAACCCGGUGAUCUAGCCAUGGGCAGGUUGAAGGUUGGGUAACACUAACUGGAGGACCGAACCGACUAAUGUUGAAAAAUUAGCGGAUGACUUGUGGCUGGGGGUGAAAGGCCAAUCAAACCGGGAGAUAGCUGGUUCUCCCCGAAAGCUAUUUAGGUAGCGCCUCGUGAAUUCAUCUCCGGGGGUAGAGCACUGUUUCGGCAAGGGGGUCAUCCCGACUUACCAACCCGAUGCAAACUGCGAAUACCGGAGAAUGUUAUCACGGGAGACACACGGCGGGUGCUAACGUCCGUCGUGAAGAGGGAAACAACCCAGACCGCCAGCUAAGGUCCCAAAGUCAUGGUUAAGUGGGAAACGAUGUGGGAAGGCCCAGACAGCCAGGAUGUUGGCUUAGAAGCAGCCAUCAUUUAAAGAAAGCGUAAUAGCUCACUGGUCGAGUCGGCCUGCGCGGAAGAUGUAACGGGGCUAAACCAUGCACCGAAGCUGCGGCAGCGACGCUUAUGCGUUGUUGGGUAGGGGAGCGUUCUGUAAGCCUGCGAAGGUGUGCUGUGAGGCAUGCUGGAGGUAUCAGAAGUGCGAAUGCUGACAUAAGUAACGAUAAAGCGGGUGAAAAGCCCGCUCGCCGGAAGACCAAGGGUUCCUGUCCAACGUUAAUCGGGGCAGGGUGAGUCGACCCCUAAGGCGAGGCCGAAAGGCGUAGUCGAUGGGAAACAGGUUAAUAUUCCUGUACUUGGUGUUACUGCGAAGGGGGGACGGAGAAGGCUAUGUUGGCCGGGCGACGGUUGUCCCGGUUUAAGCGUGUAGGCUGGUUUUCCAGGCAAAUCCGGAAAAUCAAGGCUGAGGCGUGAUGACGAGGCACUACGGUGCUGAAGCAACAAAUGCCAUGCUUCCAGGAAAAGCCUCUAAGCAUCAGGUAACAUCAAAUCGUACCCCAAACCGACACAGGUGGUCAGGUAGAGAAUACCAAGGCGCUUGAGAGAACUCGGGUGAAGGAACUAGGCAAAAUGGUGCCGUAACUUCGGGAGAAGGCACGCUGAUAUGUAGGUGAAGCGACUUGCUCGUGGAGCUGAAAUCAGUCGAAGAUACCAGCUGGCUGCAACUGUUUAUUAAAAACACAGCACUGUGCAAACACGAAAGUGGACGUAUACGGUGUGACGCCUGCCCGGUGCCGGAAGGUUAAUUGAUGGGGUCAGCGCAAGCGAAGCUCUUGAUCGAAGCCCCGGUAAACGGCGGCCGUAACUAUAACGGUCCUAAGGUAGCGAAAUUCCUUGUCGGGUAAGUUCCGACCUGCACGAAUGGCGUAAUGAUGGCCAGGCUGUCUCCACCCGAGACUCAGUGAAAUUGAACUCGCUGUGAAGAUGCAGUGUACCCGCGGCAAGACGGAAAGACCCCGUGAACCUUUACUAUAGCUUGACACUGAACAUUGAGCCUUGAUGUGUAGGAUAGGUGGGAGGCUUAGAAGUGUGGACGCCAGUCUGCAUGGAGCCGACCUUGAAAUACCACCCUUUAAUGUUUGAUGUUCUAACGUUGACCCGUAAUCCGGGUUGCGGACAGUGUCUGGUGGGUAGUUUGACUGGGGCGGUCUCCUCCUAAAGAGUAACGGAGGAGCACGAAGGUUGGCUAAUCCUGGUCGGACAUCAGGAGGUUAGUGCAAUGGCAUAAGCCAGCUUGACUGCGAGCGUGACGGCGCGAGCAGGUGCGAAAGCAGGUCAUAGUGAUCCGGUGGUUCUGAAUGGAAGGGCCAUCGCUCAACGGAUAAAAGGUACUCCGGGGAUAACAGGCUGAUACCGCCCAAGAGUUCAUAUCGACGGCGGUGUUUGGCACCUCGAUGUCGGCUCAUCACAUCCUGGGGCUGAAGUAGGUCCCAAGGGUAUGGCUGUUCGCCAUUUAAAGUGGUACGCGAGCUGGGUUUAGAACGUCGUGAGACAGUUCGGUCCCUAUCUGCCGUGGGCGCUGGAGAACUGAGGGGGGCUGCUCCUAGUACGAGAGGAC